UACGGAGGGGGUUAGCGUUGUUCGGAAUUACUGGGCGUAAAGAGUACGUAGGCUGUUUGUCAAGUUGGGUGUGAAAGCCCGGGGCUCAACCCCGGAACUGCACUCAAAACUGGCAAGCUAGAGUUCGGAAGAGGUAAGUGGAAUUCCCAGUGUAGAGGUGAAAUUCGUAGAUAUUGGGAAGAACACCAGUGGCGAAGGCG
rnacentral:rRNA from 1 species